rnacentral:lncRNA from 1 species
UAUUGCCAAACUCUGCAAUGCUUGUUUGUGAUCAUAAAUAAUUUUCAAUGUAAUAAAAGUGGUAGCAAAACGAGUCACAGCUGGAUGUACAAUUUCUCUCCAUUCAGGUAUUUUUUGCAACCAAGACAAAAAAAAAAUUGUGUGAUUGUACACAAAUAUUGUAAUUUUCGAAGCACGUAAUGCAAGGGAAUGUACGUGACGCAUACUACUAAUAUCUUUUAAAAUAAGAUUCAAAUAAUGUGCAGCACAAGGAGACCAAAAAAUGUGAUCAUAUUUGUCGUGCAAUAAUUUCCCUGCCGCCACAUAGUUAGCGGCAUUAUCAGUUACCAUAUGAACCACAUUAUGAGGUCCAACCCAUUCAACUAUCUCAGAAAACAAAUUACACAAUGUUUGAGCUUCUUUCACUACAUCUGAUGCAUCAUAAGAUUUUAUAAAUACGAUCCCAGAAGAAUAAUAUACUAAAAAAUUAAUAAAGUUCUAUGUCUUUGAUUGGUCCAACCAUCGGCCAUAAUUGUACAUCCAUUAUUUAUCCACUGACUUCGAUAAGUGUCAACAAGCAAUUGACAUUCUUUCUUGGAAUCUCUCAACAAAUUAACACGAAUGUCAUUAUAAGAUGGACCUUUAAAUCCCGGACCAAUUGCAACAGUAGCAUCUAAAGCAAGGUGAAAAUAAGGUGAUUGCAAAGCAUUAAAUGGAAUGCAAGCAUCAUAAAACCACCUAGCCCAAGACAUAUGAGCUCUCUUUAUUGCUUGUUUACCAGCUAAAGCACUCUUUAUACUAGGCUGAGAUCCAGGAGUAGUCCUUGGAGCAAAAUAUGUUUCAAUGUUGUCAUUUGCUUUCCUCUUCCCUUUUUCUUGACUUCGUUUUUCUAAAGACACAUGUAUUUCUUGAAUAUCCUCUUCUAUUUCCUCUCCUCCAAUUUCUAAAUCUAUAUAAUCAUUCCCAAAAAUACAAUCAUGAGCCUCUUUAGCAUCUUGUUUUUUUUAGAUAUAUCAUUAAGAACUCCUUGAAAUUUAAUUCGAACAUCAAAAUGAACUUUCUUACAUUGAGAUAUUUGACCUUUAAUUCCAGCAAGAUGGUAUUUCAUUCUAUUAAUUCCCCUACCUUUAAAGCUAUUGUUGCAAUAAAGACAAGUAUCACAAACUUUACCGUCAACAUCACAACUAGACGAGAAGUGUUCCCAUGCAGAAUUAGUCUUUGCAUGGCUAGAAGGUGUGGAACCUAUAGAUUGCCUUUCUGAAAACUGAGUAUUUUCAUCCAUCCUAAUUACUAAGUAAAAGAAAUUAAAAUAACCAUAGUUAGACAUAGUACCAUUACCAGUAAAAUUUUCAAACCAAGAAACAGUAAGGCAGGAGAAAAAGAGAACAAAACUCAAGUUCCUUUAUUGAUGGAUAAGUUUGGGAUUACACAACGGCACAAGUACAACCCAGAAUCUAACUAACAAUUAUAUAAAUUGUUAGAUACAGUGUAAAAAGGAACUUAUUGAGAGAAACCAAGCAUAAUAUUCCUUCAACCUUCCAAACGACAAAUUGUACUCCUUUGACAAAAAUGGAAAAAAAAAUUCCAAAUAAAAGCACAGGGACUAUUCACUUUUCUUUCAUUGAGAUAUUUGACACCAACGUUUUAGAAGACCAAAUUUGUAUUUCCUAUGGGUAGUAAGAUUCCAAGAAACCACCAUUAACGAAAGCAUUUUAGCUUAUGUUAAACCUCAUCAAAACAAGUCAACAAUAAUCCAAGAAAUGAAUAAAGGGCAAUAUAACAUAAUUAUGUGGAGAAAAGGUUGGGUUUCUGCUCUUCCAAAUGCACAUUACACCUACGCAACUCCAAAUUUGGCAGGGAAUAAAAAUGUAUACAAAUUUCAAUAAAUUUCACAUAUCAAAUAUGAAGAUUGUUAUUCAAAAACUACAAAUAUAUGAAAAGUAAA